CAUAAGAGAAAAAGCUUACAAAGACCACCUUAAGAAUGUUUUGAGAUCCAUCAAUGAGCAUGGUGUUGAUGUUAAGGGAUUUUUUGCUUGGUCUUUAAUGGACAAUUUCGAAUGGGGAAGUGGUUAUGCUGUGAGGUUCGGCCUUUACUAUGUUGAUUACAAAAAUGAUUUGAAACGAUAUCCUAAAAAAUCAGUCAAGUGGUUCAAGCAGUUUCUUAGAAAAGACUCCCACAGUUCUAUUCCACAUACGUAUCCUCUGAUUACUUCUAAUGAAAUGUCCAAAAUUGAAGAUAGUUUGGUUCGGGAUGCUAAAAGGCCAAGAAAUGCCUGAAUGCCUUCGGCAGAAUUUGAAGUCAAUGUUGUUAACGUUGUAAAUUGGGCUUUCAUGGCUGAAAGAUAGAGUUCUCAGCAUUAAUUCAACAGAAUUUGGUCACCACUUCAUUCAUCCAAGGCUGUGG